rnacentral:rRNA from 1 species
GUGGGGAAUUUUCCGCAAUGGGCGAAAGCCUGACGGAGCAAUACCGCGUGAGGGAGGAAGGCUCUUGGGUUGUAAACCUCUUUUCUCAGGGAAGGAUAAAUGACGGUACCUGAGGAAUCAGCAUCGGCUAACUCCGUGCCAGCAGCCGCGGUAAUACGGAGGAUGCAAGCGUUAUCCGGAAUGAUUGGGCGUAAAGGGUUCGCAGGUGGUAGUGAAAGUCUGCUGUUAAAGGUCGGGGCUCAACCCCGAACAGGCGGUGGAAACUACACGACUAGAGUGCGGUAGGGGCAGAGGGAAUUCCUGGUGUAGCGGUGAAAUGCGUAGAGCUCAGGAAGAACACCGAUGGCGAAAGCGCUCUGCUAGACCUGCACUGACACUGAGGGACGAAAGCUAGGGGAGCGAAUGGGAUUAGAUACCCCAGUAGUCCUAGCCGUAAACGACGGAUACUAGGUGUUGCGCGUAUCGACCCGAGCUGUGCCGUAGCUAACGCGUUAAGUAUCCCGCCUGGGGAGUACGCUCGCAAGAG